AUUGAACGCUGGCGGCAUGCCUUACACAUGCAAGUCGAACGGUAACAGGUCUUCGGAUGCUGACGAGUGGCGAACGGGUGAGUAAUACAUCGGAACGUGCCUAGUAGUGUGGGAUAACUACUCGAAAGAGUGGCUAAUACCGCAUGAGGUCUACGGAUGAAAGCAGGGGAUCGCAAGACCUUGUGCUACUAGAGCGGCCGAUGGCAGAUUAGGUAGUUGGUGGGAUAAAAGCUUACCAAGCCGACGAUCUGUAGCUGGUCUGAGAGGACGAUCAGCCACACUGGGACUGAGAAACGGCACCGACUCCUACGGGAGGCAGCAGUGGGGAAUUUUGGACAAUGGGCGCAAGCCUGAUCCAGCAAUGCCGCGUGCAGGAUGAAGGCCUUCGGGUUGUAAACUGCUUUUGUACGGAACGAAAAGCCCCGGGUUAAUACCCUGGGGUCAUGACGGUACCGUAAGAAUAAGCACCGGCUAACUACGUGCCAGCCGCCGCGGUAA
rnacentral:rRNA from 1 species